AUUGAACGCUGGCGGCAGGCUUAACACAUGCAAGUCGAACGAGUGGCGGACGGGUGAGUAAUGCUUGGGAAUCAAGCUUAUGGAGGGGGAUAACUACGGGAAACUGUAGCUAAUACCGCGUACCAUAGGAUGAGCCCAAGUGGGAUUAGGUAGUUGGUGAGGUAAAGGCUCACCAAGCCGACGAUCUCUAGCUGGUCUUAGAGGAUGAACGUCCACUCCGGGACUGAGAAGCGGCCCAGACGCCUACGGGAGGCAGCAGUGGGGAAUAUUGCGCAUGGGGGGCAACCUGCCGCAGCCAUGCCGCGUGAAUGAAGAAGGCCUUCGGGUUGUAAAGUUCUUUCGGUAGCGAGGCGUUAACGACAGAAGAAGCACCGGCUAACUCCGUGCCAGCAGCCGCGGUAAUAC
rnacentral:rRNA from 1 species